rnacentral:rRNA from 1 species
UGCUCGAGUGGCGAACGGGUGAGUAACACGUGGGUGAUCUGCCCUGCACUUCGGGAUAAGCUUGGGAAACUGGGUCUAAUACCGGAUAGGACCAUCGUUUAGUGUCGGUGGUGGAAAGUUUUUUCGGUGUGGGAUGAGCUCGCGGCCUAUCAGCUUGUUGGUGGGGUAAUGGCCUACCAAGGCGUCGACGGGUGGCCGGCCUGAGAGGGUGUACGGCCACAUUGGGACUGAGAUACGGCCCAG